GAUAUCAGGGUUAAAAGGUCUGAAUCCACGUGAGCUUGCUCAUAAGUGGAUGAAAGACCUUGGAACCCACCCAAUAUGAGCAUAAAAGUGGGAUUUUGAUCCCACGAUAUGCGAAUAGUGGGGAGGAUUGUGGGAGUGCGAAGCACGAAGCAAUCCGUAGCUAU
rnacentral:sRNA from 1 species